rnacentral:lncRNA from 1 species
ACCAGUGAUGGAAAUGUGUUCCGAAAAUAUGUUUAAUAUAAUUUGGCACAACUGAAGUGAUAAAAAUAUAGUAGUUAGACCAUUUAUAUUCACAAUUAUUUAACAUUGUAUCUUAUUUUCUACCUCAAAUGAUUUAAUCUUUUCCAUAUUGGUAUGGUCCUGGCCGAUAACUCUUUGUGUGGCAGCCUGAGAGAAUAUGGAAGACACUGUCAGUGUUGGAAGAUGGUGGUUUUAUCACUUUUCAUUGCACUGUCUUUAAAACAUGGGCAAAUUGACUAAAAGAAGACUACAGAAGAAAUAAUGGUGAUUGUGAAUUUGAAUGAAAACCAUGUAGCUGGUCUUAUUAUUCUCUAAUCAUGAAGACCAUUAUUGUUAUUUGUGGACUAAGGAGCAGAAAGACUGAUAGUGGACAUAGGCCAGCUGAUUUAAUAAUUUAAGAAAGAACUGUUAUCCUGAGUAAGGAGCAUAGAGACAAAUAUAAAAUGAACGCACUCUACCUGAUUUAAUUAUAGUCUUCUGGUGAAGAUCUUGCUGUUAUCUCUGUGAAUCAGGAGAGAAGAGAUUGAUGAAUAGACGAGAUUGGAUUUGGUCAUUUCCCCAAGGUGAAGAGCAUGGCGAUUUCUUCUGUGGUAAGGAGCAAUAAUGAAGACCAUGGUUGAUUUAAUCAGUCUCUGCUGAUGAAGAUCUUGGCUGUUACCUUUGUGUGUAAGGAAGCUAAAGACUUAAGUAAAUAACAGUCCAAAAACUUGUCAAUUAGGAAUGAAUGCGCAAUGAUUCAAUUAUUCUCCAGCGAGGAAGAUCAUGGUUGUUGUCUGUUUGAGUAAUGAGUGUAGAAACCUAUAAUGGAGGCGUGAUGGCUGAUGCAAUCAUUUUCCACUGAUGAAGGUUUUGAUGGCCACCUGUAAUGAACAGCCCCAUCUGAUUUAAUCACUGUGCAAUGACCGUGAACUGUACAGUUACCUCCGUGUGUCACAGGAAGACUCUUGUGAGUAGUAGUUAAAAUUCUUGUUUUGUUUUAAGGGUAUUCUCUGUAUUCUUAAGAAGUCUAAAAUAUAAUCAAAUAAGGUCAAGCAUUUUUAUUAUUCACUACCUAAGUACAAAUUUAUUCUUAAGACUUCCCUAUUCAUAGCUAUUUAUUUUAUGAUUACAGCACUAUUAAUGAAUUGAUUAAUCAAAAAACGAAUGUAGAUAGACAUGAAUGAAGAAAGAUAGAGUCAAUCUUGGACCUAUGAUGAUGACUGGUGGCGUAUGAGUCAUUGACGGUGAAUACAGGUCUGGAAGUCUGAGGUCCAAUAUAAUAAAAAAUCUAGUCUUCACCUUCUAUCCUAGGGAUAGACAUUAGGAAUAUUUGAGGAUGUUGUUCUUGGUCUUCACGUUCAUGCAUUUUCCCUCUAUUUUUAUAAUUGGAUCAAUGAAUCAAUAAGCAAAUAUAUUUUAACUGCAUAAAGAUAAAAAUAGGCGUUGUCCAAUUAUGGAAAUAUAUGGUGAAAUAAGAAAUACUAUUCACAUUUAUUAAAAACACUGAGGUCUUCUUUCUAUUAACAAAUAAAUGACUCAGAGGUAUUACUCGCUUGCUGCAGGAUGGCAUAUACAGUAAAAAUAAUAAUAACGUAUGUGAGGUCAUUUGGGUCAGGACCAUGUUCAUGGUUGUUUGUUUUCUCAAGAAAAAAUAGUUUCACACAUACUUACAUGACUAAUAGAAUGAAAGGAGAAAUGUGUGGAUAAAUGGACAGAAUAUUUCCAUCUUUUUAUCUUUUUUGCUUUGUACUCUCACAAUGAACACCCUCAAGUUGACUUAAGCACCCUUCCAUGGUCAUGAGGUUUCUGGUUGCCUCUGUGUGUUAGAAGCUUGGAGACCAAUGCCUUCUGCUGUGAUCGCGUUCUCCACAGUUGCCUCUGGGUAGGAGCCUGGACACUAAUAGAAAAUGGAUGCACUUGAGCCGACCUAAGCAUUCAUGGUCAUGAGAUUUGUGGUUGCCACUGUUGGUUAGGAGCAUAGAGAUCAGUAAUGGACACACCUGGGCUGGCAGAACAUCUUGCCUUGAUCUGGAGCCCCAUGUCUGCCCCUCUGUAGAGGUGCACAUGGGCCAAUGAUGGAUGCAAUGAGCUGAUCAUUUUGCUGUGAUCAAGGCUAUGUUGCCUCUGUGUUAGGCCAAUGGUUGAUGUUCAUGGGUGAUUGAUCAUCCUGUAGCGACGGUGGUAUUGACUGUUCCCCAGAGGACAAGGAGUGUGUUCUUAUAAUGGACAUCAUGAUUGGGAUUGUCUUUAUUAAACUUUGUCAGGAGAGUAAAGAUCAAUGUGGCCACAUGUUGUGGCUCAUGCCUGUAAUCCCAACACUGUAAUCCCAGCACUGUAAUCCCAGCCUGUAAUCCCAGGCUGAGGUGGGCGGAUCACCUGAGGUUGGGAGUUCGAGACCAGCCUGACCAACAUGGAGAAACCCCGUCUCUACUAAAAAUACAAAAUUAGCCGGGCAUGGUGGCGCAUGUCUUUAAUUCCAGCUACUCAGGAGGCUGAGGCAGGAGAAACGCUUGAACCCGAGAGGCGGAGGUUG